AUACGGAGGGUGCAAGCGUUAUUCGGAAUCACUGGGCGUAAAGGACGUGUAGGCGGGUUGGCAAGUCAGAUGUGAAAUCCUACAGCUUAACUGUAGAACUGCAUUUGAAACUGCUAACCUAGAGUAUGGGAGGGGGAGAUGGAAUUAGUGGUGUAGGGGUAAAAUCCGUAGAUAUCACUAGGAAUACCGAAAGCGAAGGCGAUCUCCUGGAACAUAACUGACGCUAAGGCGUGAAAGCGUGGGGAGCAAACAGGAUUAGAAACCCUAGUAGUCC
rnacentral:rRNA from 1 species